UAUUCCGAUGUUAAUUAUUCACUCGGGCAGCCACGGAAGAGAGGCGAAAAGCAAACAAUGUGAUUAAGAAAGACCCUGUGUCAUCAGCACGCAAGCCACCUUCUCCCCAGCACGUCCGGAGGCUCGGCACACGUCCGCCUCCUGCCCCGCCCCUGUGGCCUUUCCUGCAUUCCUUCCCUUACGCCCGUCCUUGGUGUUCAUUUUUAUCCAGGCUCCUGCACCAAACAACGCAUCAGACACAUGGGAACUAACACAGCAUUGGGACGCCAGCUUCACCCAUUCUGACAAAACACAGAAGUAGGAUACUAACCAGGAUGUCAACCAUUUGACCACACUUGGCAGCUGCGAGAGCUAUUCAAGAAAGGCCCCUACCCUUUCACCUGGGACUUGUCACACAGAAAUCAUUCCUGAAAGGGAGGCUGUCACGUGCAUGCGCAUUAAUAGUCCGACUAGCGCCAAGCAGUAACCGCAAACCCAAAUGCCAGGGGGGGUUGGAGGCAAGCACACAGCGCCUCGAAGCAGUGUAUUGGGAUGCAGCCGCCGCAAAGGACGGGGAGCUUAUGCGGCCACAUCCAAAGUGCUUGCAAUUCGAUGCUCGGCGUACAAGGCAGAACACCAGACUGCCCCUCUGAAACCUCCCCCAGACCCCGCGCAGCCCGUGUCAACCAAGUUCCGCUCUUUCCUGCCUGUUUUCCCGGUCCAGCCAGUUCAGGCCUCAUCGCUGCCAGAACACAGGCCAUGUUGGUGCGCAGCCGCUCACGCCCCCCGCCCUCCGCUGGCCCUAGGUGGCGCUUCGGGUGGACAGGCUCUGUGCUGGAUCUGGCUCAGCAACGGCUCACUGAGUGCUCACUGAACGAAAGAAUCAGCGACAAGCAUCUCGGCUCCUGUUUAUUGAGCACCUACUAUGUGGCAGGCGCUGUGAUUGGCAUUUCCUGUGCAUUGUUCCACUUCUUUUUCUGAGAUAAUCGUACACAGUUAACACUAUUAUCAUCCCCUUUGUACAGAUGAGAACCUGGAGCUCGGAGAAGGGGUCACCUACCCAAGACCCUGCAUCUGGGUAGGUGGGCUGAAACGGGAUGAUCCGGCGAAGAUUCCACGCCUGCCUGGGGCUGAGCCCAGGUAGCCUGAAUAUCUUAAAGGGAAGCAAACCAUGUCGGCCCAUUAACGUCCUUCCUGUUUACCUGCCAGGGCCCAGGGGACAUUCCGUUCCAGAGAGAUGUCAUGUGCAAGACCUGGGCCUGUGACUCGUGCCAGGACCAGAGAGAGUGUGUUGCAAUGAGGCGUGCGGCUGACCGAGCCCAGCCCACCCGGGUGCCAGUGUGCUCACCACUCCACACUGCUCUCCCUUUCUUUGCUGGGAGCUGCACAGAUGAUGUUUCAGGGGGCAUCUCAUCAUAGGGGGCCGGUGCCGGGACACAUGGAUGACGGGAGAGUAUGCUGUGGCCACCGUAUCCACGGAAGCCCUAAGAUUACAAAGCCGAUGUUAUCUCUAACCGAGUGGAGUUGCUAGAAGUCGAGAAGAUAUUCACCACACUGUUUUAAGCUUGCGUCUCAUUACUGUACCACUCCGCCUGUGUGUUAUGAGUUAAUGUUUUAAUAAAUCCUGUAAUUAUCUUGUGAAUAGCAUAAUUAUAUCGCUUUGUAAUUUUUUUU